UACGUAGGGUGCGAGCGUUGUCCGGAAUUACUGGGCGUAAAGAGCUCGUAGGUGGUUUGUCGCGUUGUCCGUGAAAACUCACAACUCAAUUGUGGGCGUGCGGGCGAUACGGGCAGACUGGAGUACUGCAGGGGAGACUGGAAUUCCUGGUGUAGCGGUGGAAUGCGCAGAUAUCAGGAAGAACACCCGUGGCGAAAGCGGCUCUCUGGGACGGUACUGACGCUGAGACGCGAAAGCGUGGGGAGCGAACAGG
rnacentral:rRNA from 1 species